AUUGAACGCUGGCGGAAUGCUUUACGCAUGCAAGUCGAACGGCAGCACGGACUUCGGUCUGGUGGCGAGUGGCGAACGGGUGAGUAAUGUAUCGGAACGUGCCCAGUCGUGGGGGAUAACGUAGUGAAAAUUACGCUAAUACCGCAUACGAUCUAUGGAUGAAAGCGGGGGAUCGCAAGACCUCGCGCGAUUGGAGCGGCCGAUAUCAGAUUAGGUAGUUGGUGGGGUAAAGGCCCACCAAGCCAACGAUCUGUAGCUGGUCUGAGAGGACGACCAGCCACACGGGAACUGAGACACGGUCCAGACUCCUACGGGAGGCAGCAGUGGGGAAUUUUGGACAAUGGGCGAAAGCCUGAGCCAGCCAUUCCGCGUGCAGGAUGAAGGCCCUCGGGUUGUAAACUGCUUUUGUACAGAACGAAAAGGUUUCUACUAAUACUAGGAGCUCAUGACGGUACUGUAAGAAUAAGCACCGGCUAACUACGUGCCAGCCGCCGCGGUAA
rnacentral:rRNA from 1 species